rnacentral:rRNA from 1 species
UAGGGAAUCUUCGGCAAUGGACGAAAGUCUGACCGAGCAACGCCGCGUGAGUGAAGAAGGUUUUCGGAUCGUAAAGCUCUGUUGUAAGAGAAGAACGAGUGUGAGAGUGGAAAGUUCACACUGUGACGGUAUCUUACCAGAAAGGGACGGCUAACUACGUGCCAGCAGCCGCGGUAAUACGUAGGUCCCGAGCGUUGUCCGGAUUUAUUGGGCGUAAAGCGAGCGCAGGCGGUUAGAUAAGUCUGAAGUUAAAGGCUGUGGCUUAACCAUAGUACGCUUUGGAAACUGUUUAGCUUGAGUGCAAGAGGGGAGAGUGGAAUUCCAUGUGUAGCGGUGAAAUGCGUAGAUAUAUGGAGGAACACCGGUGGCGAAAGCGGCUCUCUGGCUUGUAACUGACGCUGAGGCUCGAAAGCGUGGGGAGCAAACAGGAUUAGAUACCCUGGUAGUCCACGCCGUAAACGAUGAGUGCUAGGUGUUAGACCCUUUCCGGGGUUUAGUGCCGUAGCUAACGCAUUAAGCACUCCGCCUGGGGAGUACGACCGCAAGGUUG